CCUGUCUGGACCACGAAGAAGAAGAAGAAAAAAUCGUCCACAUGAUGCUUCCGUCUCGGGGUUUAGCUGCGCUUAAACUGGUAUCCGGUUCGUUCAACUGCAGACAGUCUUGUUCGCUCUACACUAAAGGUUUGCUGCAGCGCGAAGGGCCUGUCCUAAAGGGCGUUGUUCAUCCCAGCUGCCUUUCAUCACUUGGUGGCGUUUCAAGCAUUCAGUUGGACCGGAGAACCAACAUGUCUUCCAGCGCCAUGUCCCAAAGGAUGGUGUGGGUGGACCUGGAGAUGACAGGUUUAGACCUUGACAAGGACCAAAUCAUUGAAAUGGCCUGCAUCAUCACAGAUUGUGAGCUGAACAUUAUAGCAGAGGGACCAACCAUGAUCAUCAACCAACCAGACGAGCUGCUGGACAGAAUGUCAGACUGGUGUAAAGAGCAUCAUGGAAAGUCAGGACUGAUCCAGGCUGUUAAAAAUAGUAAAAUCACCCUGGAACAAGCGGAAUAUGAAUUUCUGUCCUUUGUCAGGCAGCACACCCCACCUGGACAAUGUCCUCUUGCUGGCAACUCUGUGCAUGCAGACAAGAGGUUCCUAGACAAGUAUAUGCCACAAUUCAUGUACCAUCUUCACUACAGAAUUAUUGACGUCAGCACCAUCAAAGAGCUCUGCAGACGGUGGUUCCCAGAAGAAUUUCGUAUGGUACCUCACAAGACUGCAACCCACAGAGCCUCAGACGACAUAAAGGAGAGUAUUAAGGAGCUGCAAUACUACAGAGACAGCAUCUUUAAAGUGCCAACAGAGGAGAAGAAACGCAAGAUUGUUGAAAAUGUAGGCAAUAAAAUGAAUUAGUCCUUGAGUGAGACUUUUAAAAUGCAUUUGAACAGUUUUGUUUUUGUCUGAUUCUAUUUCUUAUUGCAUUCCUUUGAAGAAGUCCUGUUAAUUUACAGUUCUGUUACUUGUUGUACCGACUAAGAUUCUAAUAAGCAUUUCUUUCUGAAAAUUAAUUUAAGGUGAAUGCUUUAGAAUUGGAAUUUAGGCAGAGUCACUCUGACACAAUUUUGCUUUUCAUUGAAUUUGUUUGAGGAAGCAGAGCAUCUAUAUCCCUGGAAUUUCUAUACAAAUUACUCAAGUUUAAAAAGUGGGUUGUUACAGAUUAAGUGGAUAUUUCAUUUCAAUGUUUUAUGGACAGAUUACAAAUAAAGUCCAGUGUUGCAGUCCUCA